rnacentral:rRNA from 1 species
AGGAGAGUUUGAUCCUGGCUCAGGAUGAACGCUAGCGGCAGGCUUAACACAUGCAAGUCGAGGGGCAGCGAGGGUAGCAAUACCUGUCGGCGACCGGCGGAAGGGUGCGUAACGCGUGAGCAACUUGCCCGUAUCAGGGGGAUAGUCAUUGGAAACGAUGCGUAAUACCCCAUAACAACAGAGGCUGCAUGACCUUUGUUUGAAAGAUUCGUCGGAUACGGAUAGGCUCGCGAGACAUUAGCUAGUUGGCGGGGUAACGGCCCACCAAGGCGACGAUGUCUAGGGGUUCUGAGAGGAAGGUCCCCCACAUUGGAACUGAGACACGGUCCAAACUCCUACGGGAGGCAGCAGUGAGGAAUAUUGGUCAAUGGCCGGAAGGCUGAACCAGCCAUGCCGCGUGAAGGAAGACGGCCCUAUGGGUUGUAAACUUCUUUUGUGGUGGAGCAAUAAGACGUACGCGUACGUCGAUGAGAGUACAUCACGAAUAAGCAUCGGCUAACUCCGUGCCAGCAGCCGCGGUAAUACGGAGGAUGCAAGCGUUAUCCGGAUUUAUUGGGUUUAAAGGGUGCGUAGGCUGUUCGUCAAGUCAGAGGUGAAAUACCACAGCUUAACUGUGGAACUGCCUUUGAUACUGGCGAGCUGGAAUACGGAUGCCGUGGGAGGAAUGAGUAGUGUAGCGGUGAAAUGCAUAGAUAUUACUCAGAACACCGAUUGCGAAGGCAUCUCACGAAUCCGUCAUUGACGCUGAGGCACGAAAGCGUGGGGAUCAAACAGGAUUAGAUACCCUGGUAGUCCCCU